AGAGUUUGAUCCUGGCUCAGGAUGAACUCUAGCUACAGGCCUAACACACGCAAGUCGAGGGGCAGCAUGGGGUCCGCUUGCGGACCCCGAUGGCGACCGGCGAAUGGGUGAGUCACGCGUGUCCAACCUGCCCCGCGCCCGGGGAUAGCCCUUGGAAAUGAGGAUUAAGACCCGAUAUGCGCACGCCCCGCAUGGCGCGUGCGUGAAUGGAGGCGCGGGAUGGGGACGCGUCGGAUUAGCUUGACGGCGGGGCGACGGCCCACCGUGGCGACGAUCCGCAGGGGUUCUGAGAGGAAGGUCCCCCACACUGGCACUGAGACACGGGCCAGACUCCUACGGGAGGCAGCAGUGAGGAAUAUUGGUCAAUGGCCGAGAGGCUGAACCAGCCAAGUAGCGUGCAGGAUGACGGCCCUACGGGUUGUAAACUGCUUUUGCGGGAGGAUAACCGGCGCCACGUGUGGCGCCCUGCAGGUAUCCCGUGAAUAAGGACCGGCUAAUUCCGUGCCAGCAGCCGCGGUAAUACGGAAGGUCCGGGCGUUAUCCGGAUUUAUUGGGUUUAAAGGGAGCGCAGGCGGGCUGUCAAGCGUGCCGUGAAAUUUCGGGGCUCAACCCCGUUAAGCGGCGCGAACUGGCGGCCUUGGUUGCGGGAGAGGGAGGCGGAACUCGUGGUGUAGCGGUGAAAUGCAUAGAUAUCACGAAGAACCCCGAUUGCGAAGGCAGCCUCCCGGCCCGUGAACGACGCUCAUGCUCGAAGGCGCGGGUAUCAAACAGGAUUAGAUACCCUGGUAGUCCGCGCGGUAAACGAUGGACACUCGGGAUUUGCCCUUUUUUUGGGUGAGUCCCCCAGCGAAAGCGUUAAGUGUCCCACCUGGGGAGUACGCCGGCAACGGUGAAACUCAAAGGAAUUGACGGGGGCCCGCACAAGCGGAGGAACAUGUGGUUUAAUUCGAUGAUACGCGAGGAACCUUACCCGGGCUUGAAAUGUGCACGACGACCCUGAGAGACCAGGGUCUCCUUCGGGCGUGCAUGUAGGUGCUGCAUGGUUGUCGUCAGCUCGUGCCGUGAGGUGUCGGCUCAAGUGCCA
rnacentral:rRNA from 1 species